rnacentral:rRNA from 1 species
CGGAGGAAAAGAAACUAACAAGGAUUCCCCUAGUAACGGCGAGUGAAGAGGGAAGAGCCCAAGAUUGAAAGCUGGCGUCUUCGACGUCCGCAUUGUAAUCUCAAGAAGUGUUUUCCGCUUCGGACCAAGCCUAAGUCCCCUGGAAAGGGGCAUCAUAGAGGGUGAUAAUCCCGUACAUGGCUUGGAGCGCCCGUAGCUUUGUGAUACACUUUCUAAGAGUCGAGUUGUUUGGGAAUGCAGCUCAAAAUGGGUGGUAAAUGCCAUCUAAGGCUAAAUAUUGGGGAGAGACCGAUAGCGAACAAGUACAGUGAUGGAAAGAUGAAAAGAACUUUGAAAAGAGAGUUAAACAGUACGUGAAAUUGCCAAAAGGGAAGGGUAGGAGGUCAGAGAUGCGGCCUGGGAUUCAGCCUUGCUUUUGCUUGGUGUUUUUCCCAGAUUGCAGGCCAACGUCGGUUUUGGGCACUGGAGAAUGGUGGAAGGAACGUGGCACCUCUCGGGGUGUGUUAUAGCCUUCUACUGGAUACAGCGACCGAGACCGAGGACAGCAGCGUACUCGCAAGAGCGGGCCUUCGGGCACCUUUACGCUUAGGGCGUUGGCAUAAUGGCCCUCUACCACCCGUCUUGAA